UAUUAAUUUUGAUUGCAGCAGCAAUUCCCAUUUCUAGAUCGAUGGGCAGUUUGUUGUCUCUAUCCCAGAUUGGUAAACAACAGUUUGUUUAAAACAAGUUGUUGAAAUUAAAGUUUCAAUUAAGCAAUGUGAUCCCGUGCCGCCUUGUCUCUCUAUAAUCCUCCGUGGGAUUAUAAAUUUCACUACUUAGCUCGUUUAAAAUCAAUCCCUUCAUCUGAUUUUUCUACGAGAAAAAGAAGGGGCCAAGAAAUUUCUAUGGGGUUUGAUUAAUAUUUGCGAAGCUGUCUGCUGCUGGGUGUACUUUUUUCUCUAUGGGUAUUUGUCAAAUUGGAGAAAAUUGAGCUUCGGAAAAUGGUGAGUGCCCGCUGUGGACCGUGGAAUUUGCUUUUAAACCAUCAGGGAAGAAGGCAUGCAAAUGGGAAUCGCGAGAGAGAGACUGAAGAAGAGGCAAGCAUGAUCGAUGAAGAAAGCAGGGAUAAAUCAGCUUGGAGAUUGGACAAGAAGCGGCGGCCGGCGUUCUCUGGGAUAAUUGUCGACGGCGGUGGCCCAGGGUGGCUCGACGGCGACAGUGUAGAGUCUGCAAAAUGGAGACCCUAUUUGGUAGCCAUCCAUGUCUGCGAAGAUUCAGAAAAUGGUUCAAAGUUCAGCAAAAGCUUUCCUGUGAUGGAAAUGAAUGAUUCGAGGGGUUCAAAUUCAAGGGAAUCUUUUGCUAAGAAAUUGAUCAAGAGACUAGCUAAGCAAAGAGCUAUGCCUACGGCAGUAACAUUAGAAUUCGACCCGACCGGUCCCCUUGGGAAUUGGGUUUCACUUGCCAAAUGCUAUGCCAAUCAACUCCCUGCAGCUAGUAUUGUGCUUGCUGUUCACAAGGGAAAGACUAUCUUCAAAAGGCAGUCAGUUGAUCAGUUUAGAGGUUUUCAAUUAGACUUGAGGCCUGAGUUCUAUUUCAGUGAAGUUAAUACUACCUCCAGAGAUGCAAAGGCAUUGAAGGAAGAUAGUGAGUUCCUUGUUGAAACGAACUCGAUAAAUGGAAAUAUGAACAGUCAGAAUAAGAAAGCUCUUCUGGGUUCGAUUUCUGUUAUCCGAAGACAGAUUCCAGAAUCAAAUGUCGGUUGGCCACUUCGACGGAGAAGUUCUCACGGAGGUCAAGAGGUUUUGAGAAAAGGAGCUAGAAAUGUGUCUGUGGUUCAAUGGGUAAUGAGCCUGCCUAAUAGAUCAGCUGUAAAGUUACCAAAAGAGCAGAGUGAUAUGGCUUUUGAAAGACCAGAAAUUUCUUUAAAAAAUGAACUUGAGGGGAUUGAAGGAACCAGUCCUCUGGUGAUUCAGAUCUUGGGAGAUGAGGCUGGAGACAGUCAUGAAAAUCCAAAAGACAGUGAAAUUGGUAAUGAAGUCAAGCAAAAUGUAAAAAUGGCCCUUUCAGUCUCUUUUAUUGUAAAAGAAUUGCAACAAGAAACAGAGUCAUUUCAAGAAACAGAAUCAGAGACGAGCCUGUCUAACCAAACAACUGACACAAAUUUGGAGUCCCAGAUUGGUUGGGUUUCAAAUAAUUCAGAAGAGCAAGUAGAAAGGGUAAUGUUUAAUCAUUCCAAAGAAAUGAAUAUUGAGAAUAACGCUCUCGGAAUUGUGUCCAACCAGCUGGAGCUUCCUAUCAAGAUGAAUCAAUCAGGUAGCAAGUGGUUCACCUAUGCAGAGCUAGAGAUAGCAACUUCCAAUUUCUCCGCAGAAAAUCUAAUUGGAGAAGGAGGUUGUAGCACUGUAUACAGAGGAUGUCUUUCCGAUGGCAGUUUCAUUGUAGUAAAAGUUUUGAAGUCGUACAAGGGAGCUCGGGACGACUUUUUGUUGGAAAUAAACACCGUCUCCUCAAUCAACCAUAAACAUAUCACGCCUCUUAUUGGUGUGUGCAUGGAAAAUGAAUGUCUUAUGUCGGUAUACGAAUACUUUCCUGAAGGCAGUUUGGAGGAACGUUUGCACGUUCAUAGUGGAAGAGGUAAAUUUCAAUGGGAAAUGAGGUUUAAAGUAGCCGUUGCUGUUGCGGAGGCAUUAAAUUACCUUCACAACGAAUGUUCUCCGCCUGUUAUUCAUAGAGAUGUUAAAUCUUCAAACAUUCUUCUCUCUGACAAGCUCCAACCCCAGUUCUCUCUGUUGCAGCUAUCAGAUUUUGGGCUUGCUAUGUGGGGGCCAACAGAUUUAUCAUAUGUAAUAAACACUGAUGUGGUAGGGACGUUUGGAUAUAUCGCUCCAGAGUAUCUCAUGCAUGGAAGGGUCAGUGACAAAAUUGACGUUUAUGCCUUCGGUAUUGUCCUUCUCGAACUUCUGUCAGGCAGACGUCCCAUCGAUUUCAGUGUUAAAAGACAAGGAAGCUUAGUCCUGUGGGCUAAGGAAGUGUUAAACAGUGGGGAUCCUAAGGAAUUAAUGGAUCCAAGCUUGGAUAUAGACUUCAAUGAUGUUCAGGUUCAAAGAAUGGUUUCAGCAGCCACCCUAUGCAUUGAUCCUUCGCCUCGGCUACGUCCGAAUGUGAGCAAGAUACUGAAGCUAUUAAAAGGAGAGGCAUACAUCGAUGACAUUGUAAAUUUCCGUGGUUCGGAGGAGCUACACGACAUCGAUAAUAUUUUUCCAAAGUUUGUUAGCAAACCCAGUCUGAGUUUUGCACUCCGUGACAUAGACUAUGACUGUACAUCGUCGAAUAAUACACAUACAACAUCGAAUAAUACACAUACAACAUCAAAUACUGCUGCGAAAAAAACCCGUCGUCUGAAGUUAAAGGACUACUUGAAAGAAGAGCAAGAAUAACUUGGAAGAGGCUAUAUAAUGAGGCAGAUAAAGGCAAGCUUUCGACCACGAAUCAAUGGGGGAAAAGGAAAGGAAAAGCAAUGUAGAUGCCGCUGCUGCAUGAGCCAGAUUUUUUAGCAGGUCAAAAAUGCAGGUUGGUUGGGAAGCUUUUUCGACACAAAAAUACAUUCUUGUACGCAAACUUGUGCAUAGCUCGUCGAUUAAUACAUAAAUUAUGUACCAAAAGGUAAAACAAAUAAAUAAAUAAUCGCAACUUGUGAUCAA